UGGGGUUGUAGCUCAGUGAUGGAAUGUUUGCCUAGCAUGUACAAGGCCCUGGGUUCAAUCCUCAGCACCACAA
rnacentral:tRNA from 1 species